GGUUCCCUGGGGCGUUUGUGAUCCAUAUCUCGACGCUAACCUGACAAAGCACAAAAAACAGGGAGUCAUCCCUACGUCCUGUGCGCAAGCCCGUCAUGAGCGGGACGCCUAAUGGACGCACAUUGACGCCCGACCUGGUAAACCAGGUUCCGCAUCGCAGAUUUGACACGGCUCUCCGGGGCGCCG
rnacentral:other from 1 species